rnacentral:rRNA from 1 species
AGGUGUUGUUGGGUAGGGGAGCGUUCUGUAAGCCUGCGAAGGUGGCCUGUGAGGGUUGCUGGAGGUAUCAGAAGUGCGAAUGCUGACAUAAGUAACGAUAAAGCGGGUGAAAAGCCCGCUCGCCGGAAGACCAAGGGUUCCUGUCCAACGUUAAUCGGGGCAGGGUGAGUCGACCCCUAAGGCGAGGCCGAAAGGCGUAGUCGAUGGGAAACGGGUUAAUAUUCCCGUACUUGGUGUUACUGCGAAGGGGGGACGGAGAAGGCUAUGUUGGCCGGGCGACGGUUGUCCCGGUUUAAGCGUGUAGGUGUGUGUUCCAGGUAAAUCCGGUUCACUUUAACACUGAGGCGUGACGACGAGGCACUACGGUGCUGAAGCAACAAAUGCCCUGCUUCCAGGAAAAGCCUCUAAGCAUCAGGUAACAUCAAAUCGUACCCCAAACCGACACAGGUGGUCAGGUAGAGAAUACCAAGGCGCUUGAGAGAACUCGGGUGAAGGAACUAGGCAAAAUGGUGCCGUAACUUCGGGAGAAGGCACGCUGACAUGUAGGUGAAGUGAUUUACUCAUGGAGCUGAAGUCAGUCGAAGAUACCAGCUGGCUGCAACUGUUUAUUAAAAACACAGCACUGUGCAAACACGAAAGUGGACGUAUACGGUGUGACGCCUGCCCGGUGCCGGAAGGUUAAUUGAUGGGGUCAGCGCAAGCGAAGCUCCUGAUCGAAGCCCCGGUAAACGGCGGCCGUAACUAUAACGGUCCUAAGGUAGCGAAAUUCCUUGUCGGGUAAGUUCCGACCUGCACGAAUGGCGUAAUGAUGGCCAGGCUGUCUCCACCCGAGACUCAGUGAAAUUGAACUCGCUGUGAAGAUGCAGUGUACCCGCGGCAAGACGGAAAGACCCCGUGAACCUUUACUAUAGCUUGACACUGAACAUUGAGCCUUGAUGUGUAGGAUAGGUGGGAGGCUUUGAAGUGUGGACGCCAGUCUGCAUGGAGCCGACCUUGAAAUACCACCCUUUAAUGUUUGAUGUUCUAACGUGGACCCGUGAUCCGGGUUGCGGACAGUGUCUGGUGGGUAGUUUGACUGGGGCGGUCUCCUCCUAAAGAGUAACGGAGGAGCACGAAGGUUGGCUAAUCCUGGUCGGACAUCAGGAGGUUAGUGCAAUGGCAUAAGCCAGCUUGACUGCGAGCGUGACGGCGCGAGCAGGUGCGAAAGCAGGUCAUAGUGAUCCGGUGGUUCUGAAUGGAAGGGCCAUCGCUCAACGGAUAAAAGGUACUCCGGGGAUAACAGGCUGAUACCGCCCAAGAGUUCAUAUCGACGGCGGUGUUUGGCACCUCGAUGUCGGCUCAUCACAUCCUGGGGCUGAAGUAGGUCCCAAGGGUAUGGCUGUUCGCCAUUUAAAGUGGUACGCGAGCUGGGUUUAGAACGUCGUGAGACAGUUCGGUCCCUAUCUGCCGUGGGCGCUGGAGAACUGAGGGGGGCUGCUCCUAGUACGAGAGGACCGGAGUGGACGCAUCACUGGUGUUCGGGUUGUCAUGCCAAUGGCACUGCCCGGUAGCUAAAUGCGGAAGAGAUAAGUGCUGAAAGCAUCUAAGCACGAAACUUGCCCCGA